rnacentral:sRNA from 1 species
GAUAAGCUGCGUUAAGGAUUGAAAUGACAUCCUUUUUAUAAUCUAAUUAAACAAGCAAUCUGUUUAUAGAUUAUGAGAUUGCCACAGUUUACAAAAGAGUAAACUUCGCAAUGACAUUAUAAAAAGAUAUAAUGGAAAGCCUGUUAAAAC